rnacentral:tRNA from 1 species
GCGCCUGUAGCUCAGGGGAUAGAGCAACGGUUUCCUAAACCGUAGGUCGGAGGUUCGAAUCCUCUCAGGCGUG